GACGAACGCUGGCGGCGUGCUUAACACAUGCAAGUCGAACGGUGAAGCGCCUUCCUUUUUGGUGGGUGUGGAUGAGUGGCGAACGGGUGAGUAACACGUGAGUAACCUGCCCCCUUCUUCUGGAUAACCGCAUGAAAGUGUGGCUAAUACGGGAUAUUCUGGGUCUGUCGCAUGAUGGGUCUGGGAAAGAUAUUGUUUCGGUGGGGGAUGGGCUCGCGGCCUAUCAGCUUGUUGGUGGGGUGAUGGCCUACCAAGGCGGUGACGGGUAGCCGGCCUGAGAGGGUGGACGGUCACACUGGGACUGAGACACGGCCCAGACUCCUACGGGAGGCAGCAGUGGGGAAUAUUGCACAAUGGGCGCAAGCCUGAUGCAGCGACGCCGCGUGAGGGAUGGAGGCCUUCGGGUUGUGAACCUCUUUCGCCAGUGAAGCAGGCCUGCCUCGUUUGUGGGUGGGUUGACGGUAGCUGGAUAGGAAGCGCCGGCUAACUACGUG
rnacentral:rRNA from 1 species